AUCUGAAGUAAGAAGUUCCGUGGAUCAUCAGAAAAUGCAUAUCUCCGUUCUUGUGAAGGAUUUCAGCUUCAGACCAAACUCGAAGUUAACGCCACGAAUGGCCGGAAGCGAAGGGAGUCGCAGGAAAAUGACUUUCUGAAAGCGGGAAAUCGGACAAAAAUCAUAUUUCUUGUUGGUAUUUUGGUAUAUCAUCCAAUUUUGUGCAUAAAUGUAUGGUAAUUAUACGUUGAUACAUUUUAGUCAGACUACAGUAUUUCACAUGUUUGCACAUUACAUACAAAAAAUGAAUACCCUUUGUUAGAAA